rnacentral:rRNA from 1 species
AACGAACGCUGGCGGCAGGCUUAACACAUGCAAGUCGAACGAUCCUUCGGGAUAGUGGCAGACGGGUGAGUAACGCGUGGGAACCUUCCCUGUGGUACGGAAUAGCUCCGGGAAACUGGAAUUAAUACCGUAUACGCCCUUUGGGGGAAAGAUUUAUCGCCAUAGGAUGGGCCCGCGUCGGAUUAGCUUGUUGGUGAGGUAACGGCUCACCAAGGCUCCGAUCCGUAGCUGGUCUUAGAGGAUGAUCAGCCACACUGGGACUGAGACACGGCCCAGACUCCUACGGGAGGCAGCAGUGGGGAAUAUUGGACAAUGGGCGCAAGCCUGAUCCAGCCAUGCCGCGUGAGUGACGAAGGCCUUAGGGUUGUAAAACUCUUUUGGCGGGGACGAUAAUGACGGUACCCGCAGAAUAAGCCCCGGCUAACUUCGUGCCAGCCGCCGCCGUAACAC